rnacentral:rRNA from 1 species
AACCUGCCCUUGACUCUGGGAUAAGCCCGGGAAACUGGGUCUAAUACUGGAUGCUACAUGUCACCGCAUGGUGGUGUGUGGAAAGGGUUUACUGGUCUUGGAUGGGCUCACGGCCUAUCAGCUUGUUGGUGAGGUAAUGGCUCACCAAGGCGACGACGGGUAGCCGGCCUGAGAGGGUGACCGGCCACACUGGGACUGAGACACGGCCCAGACUCCUACGGGAGGCAGCAGUGGGGAAUAUUGCACAAUGGGCGAAAGCCUGAUGCAGCGACGCCGCGUGAGGGAUGACGGCCUUCGGGUUGUAAACCUCUUUCAGCAGGGAAGAAGCCACAAGUGACGGUACCUGCAGAAGAAGCGCCGGCUAACUACGUGCCAGCAGCCGCGGUAAUACGUAGGGCGCAAGCGUUGUCCGGAAUUAUUGGGCGUAAAGAGCUCGUAGGCGGUUUGUCGCGUCUGCUGUGAAAGCCCGGGGCUUAACCCCGGGUGUGCAGUGGGUACGGGCAGACUAGAGUGCAGUAGGGGAGACUGGAAUUCCUGGUGUAGCGGUGGAAUGCGCAGAUAUCAGGAGGAACACCGAUGGCGAAGGCAGGUCUCUGGGCUGUUACUGACGCUGAGGAGCGAAAGCAUGGGGAGCGAACAGGAUUAGAUACCCUGGUAGUCCAUGCCGUAAACGUUGGGCACUAGGUGUGGGGGACAUUCCACGUUUUCCGCGCCGUAGCUAACGCAUUAAGUGCCCCGCCUGGGGGAGUANGGCCGCAAGGCUAAAACUCAAAAGGAAUUGACGGGGGGCCCGCACAAGCGGGCGGAGCAUGCCGGAUUAAUUUCGAUGCAAC